rnacentral:misc_RNA from 1 species
UUGUGUGUGUGUGUGUGUGUGUGAUGUUAUUUCGGCGUAGGCCAGAUAUGAUGUUCCUUUUUUAUUUUUCUUCCCAUUGGCUAAAAGCUUGUGUGUGGCUGAUGAUUUCCUCAUUGACUUCCUCCUCCUUUUCAAAUAUUUGGUUCUCUUGCCUUGCUUUUUGUCAUAUUAGGCCAGGGAACGGCAAAGAAAAGAAGAGCAGGAACGUCUAGAG